GAGACAGCAGCAGCCGCGGUAAUACGGAGGGUGCAAGCGUUAAUCGGAAUUACUGGGCGUAAAGCGCACGCAGGCGGUCUGACAAGUCAGAUGUGAAAUCCCCGGGCUUAACCUGGGAACUGCAUUUGAAACUGUCAGGCUGGAGUCUUGUAGAGGGGGGUAGAAUUCCAGGUGUAGCGGUGAAAUGCGUAGAGAUCUGGAGGAAUACCGGUGGCGAAGGCGGCCCCCUGGACAAAGACUGACGCUCAGGUGCGAAAGCGUGGGGAGCAAACAGGAUUAGAUACCCGGGUAGUCCCUGUCUCUUAUAC
rnacentral:rRNA from 1 species